rnacentral:rRNA from 1 species
UACGAAGGGGCUAGCGUUGCUCGGAAUCACUGGGCGUAAAGCGCACGUAGGCGGCUUCUUAAGUCAGGGGUGAAAUCCUGGAGCUCAACUCCAGAACUGCCUUUGAUACUGAGGAGCUUGAGUCCGGGAGAGGUGAGUGGAACUGCGAGUGUAGAGGUGGAAAUUCGUAGAUAUUACGCAAGAACACCAGUGGCGAAGGCGGACUCACUGGCCCGGUACUGGACGCUGAGGGUUGCG